rnacentral:rRNA from 1 species
CAGUCGCCGCGGGAAUACGGAGGGUGCAAGCGUUAAUCGGAAUUACCGGGCGUAAAGCGUGCGUAGGCGGUUCGUUAAGUCUGUUGUGAAAGCCCCGGGCUCAACCUGGGAAUGGCAAUGGAUACUGGCGAGCUAGAGUGUGUCAGAGGAUGGUGGAAUUUCCGGUGUAGCGGUGAAAUGCGUAGAGAUCGGAAGGAACAUCAGUGGCGAAGGCGGCCAUCUGGGACAACACUGACGCUGAAGCACGAAAGCGUGGGGAGCAAACAGGAUUAGAUACCCGGGUAGUCCCUGUCUCUUAUAC